rnacentral:rRNA from 1 species
GACAGAGGGUGCGAACGUUGUUCGGAAUUACUGGGCGUAAAGCGCAUGUAGGCGGCCGCGCAGGUCGGGUGUGAAAGCCCUGGGCUCAACCCAGGAAGUGCACUCGAAACCGCACGGCUCGAGUCCCGGAGAGGAAGUUGGAAUUCUCGGUGUAGAGGUGAAAUUCGUAGAUAUCGAGAGGAACACCUGCGGCGAAGGCGGGUAGCUGGGCCGACACUGACGCUGAGGCGCGAAAGCCAGGGGAGCGAACGGG